CCUACGGGUGGCAGCAGUGAGGAAUAUUGGUCAAUGGCCGGAAGGCUGAACCAGCCAUGCCGCGUGAAGGUCAGUGCCCUAUGGGCGUUAAACUUCUUUUGUGCGGGAGCAAUAAUGGUCACGUGUGGCCAGACGAGAGUACCGUACGAAUAAGCCUCGGCUAACUCCGUUCCAGCCGCCGCGGUUAUACGGGGGGUGCAGGCGUUGUUCGGAGUUUUUGGGUUUAAAGGGUGCGUAGGCUGUGAGGUAAGUCAGCGGUGAAAUGCCCCCGGUCAACGGGGUGAAGUGCCAUUGAUACGGCCUUGCUGGAAUGGGGAUGCAGUGGGAGGAAUGUGUGGUGUAGCGGUGAAAUGCAUAGAUAUCACACAGAACACCGAUUGCGAAGGCAUCUCACGAAUCCGCGAUUGACGCUGAUGCACGAAAGCGUGGGUAUCAAACAGGAUUAGAUACCCCGGUAGUC
rnacentral:rRNA from 1 species